AAACUAGCCAUUAAUUACAGUACAUUAGCCAUCAGUAAAAGUCGGGAUAUUCCAGUAUCUUUUUCAAUGUGGGCGUGUUUAACAUUAUAUACCACACCUACCCACGUGGUGCCACCAUGACUGCAUCUGCUAAAAGUUCUGAAGAAAGAAAGAAGUGUCCUUUCUGCCAUCUGUCUUACCAGUUUUCAUCUUCACUUUCAAAGCAUGUUAAGGAGAAACAUAGCAAUGAGAAAAGCGUCAAAGAUUCUCACGUUUUCUGCAAUUUAUGCGGCUCAAUGGUUUUAAGUGUGGCAAAGCUAAUUGAGCAUCUUAAUCAAAUCCACAACAAGGAAAUCAAAAUAACAAA